rnacentral:rRNA from 1 species
CCCGCACAAGCGGUGGAGUAUGUGGUUUAAUUCGAUGCAACGCGAAGAACCUUACCUGGUCUUGACAUCCCGGAGACCCUUAGGAAACUAGGGGUGCUUCCCUCUGGAAGAAUCUGGAGACAGGUGCUGCAUGGCUGUCGUCAGCUCGUGUCGUGAGAUGUUGGGUUAAGUCCCGCAACGAGCGCAACCCUUGCCUUUAGUUGCCAGCAGUUCGGCUGGGCACUCUAAAGGGACUGCCGGUGUUAAACCGGAGGAAGGUGGGGAUGACGUCAAGUCCUCAUGGCCUUUAUGACCAGGGCUACACACGUACUACAAUGGCCGAUACAAAGGGCAGCGACACUGCGAGGUGAAGCCAAUCCCGUAAAAUCGGUCUCAGUCCGGAUUGGAGUCUGCAACUCGACUCCAUGAGGUUGGAAUCGCUAGUAAUCGUGGAUCAGCAUGCCACGGUGAAUACGUUCCCGGGCCUU